rnacentral:rRNA from 1 species
GCUUACGGCCAUACCACCCUGAACACGCCCGAUCUCGAAGCUAAGCAGGGUCGCGGCCUGGUUAGUACUUGAUGGGAGACCGCCUGGGAAUACCAGGUGCUGUAAGCU